AUGUGGUGCAUAUAGUCUCUUCUUCCCCCACUGAGAACCCUAACUUUUCAACCACAUUCACAUAGAAGUUCUGGACACUGUAACGUGAAAUCAGAUCCACUCUUAUUCUUCUCACUAUGUCCAUCAAAAAUCGCCUUUUUCGCCAACGAAAAGUCACACAAUGUUGAUGGAGGUACUAGCUGUGAGGGAGUUCAAAAAAUUAAUGUAAUAUCUUUAUUAUUUUUUUUUUCCUUUAAUGUUUUUUUUUUAUGGUAGCUCUAAAUUCUUGCAGAAAUCUACAUUCAGGUGUGGUAUAUGUUAGAGAAUUUAUUCGAGCUCAUCAUAGUUUAUUGUUGCAUCAUAUCUAACUAUUUAAAUAUCGUUUAGGAUUUUAGGCCAAAACAAUGUUGGGAAUAUCAUAAUAGUUUUCAACCAUGCUUUAAUGCAUACUUUCUGUUGCAAGGUAUAGAUAGAUCUCUAUGUGUUUUAGCGUACAAUGAAAAGAGGAAAGUUGAAAAGUAACCAGGAAAAAAAAAUAUAAAUAAAAAGUAUCGAAAAUAUAUUUAUACAA